rnacentral:rRNA from 5 species
GGCUUUAGCGCGGUGGUCCCACCUGACCCCAUGCCGAACUCAGAAGUGAAACGCCGUAGCGCCGAUGGUAGUGUGGGGUCUCCCCAUGUGAGAGUAGGGAACUGCCAGGC